AUGUAGGUCAACCUGUUUUUCAGUAGGGAUAAAUUACUUCAAGAGAAAUGAAUCCUAGUUUUCCCUUCAAAUCAAACAUUAU
rnacentral:pre_miRNA from 1 species